CACGUAGGGCGCAAGCGUUGUCCGGAGUUACUGGGCGUAAAGCGCACGCAGGCGGUGCUGCGCGUUUGGGGUUACAGCUCCCGGCUCAACCGGGAGAGCGCCUCGAAGACGGCAGCACUUGAGGGCCAGAGAGAGACACGGAACUCCGGGUGGAGUGGUGAAAUGCGUAGAUAUCCGGAAGAACACCAAAGGCGAAGGCAGUGUCCUGGCUGGUACCUGACGCUCAGGUGCGAAAGCUAGGGGAGCGAACGGG
rnacentral:rRNA from 1 species